AUGGCUCAGAACGAACGCUGGCGGCGCGUCUUAAGCAUGCAAGUCGAACGGCAAGAGGUAGCAAUACCUCCUAGAGUGGCGGACUGGUGAGUAACACGUGGGUGACAUACCCUUCAGAUGGGGAUAGCUAUUAGAAAUAGUAGAUAAUACCGAAUACGAGCACAGGGGUUAGAGAUCUGUGAGGAAAGGAGCUAAGGCUCCGCUGAAGGAAUGGCCUGCGGCCCAUUAGCUAGUUGGUGAGGUAAGAGCCCACCAAGGCGAUGAUGGGUAUCCGGCCUUAGAGAGUGAACGGACACAUUGGGACUGAGAUACGGCCCAGACUCCUACGGGAGGCAGCAGCUAAGAAUAUUCCGCAAUGGACGAAAGUCUGACGGAGCGACGCCGCGUGGAUGAAGAAGGCCGGAAGGUUGUAAAAUCCUUUUGAAACUGAAGAAUAAGCGUUGUAGGGAAUGACAGCGUGGUGACAGUAGGUUUUGAAUAAGCAACGGCUAAUUACGUGCCAGCAGCUGC
rnacentral:rRNA from 1 species